UAUUUUACGACUUUAUAUCGUAUUAGAAAAGUUUAAGUAACUAGUUUUGCUCCUUGUGGCAAGCUGUUAUCGGCAGCUGGAGCACGUAAUCUUAAACCCAAUAACUUUAAGUGGAAAAUGUUAAUAAGUAUAAUUAUCACAGAGAAAUCAAAAAUAUAAAAAGUAUAAAAAUCAAAUAAUCUAAAAAUAAAAUUCCACUAUAAAAGAAAAACAAAACUAACAUUACACGAAGGAAAAUGGUCGUUAGUCUCGUGAAUGCUUCAAUUAACUUCCUUAAGUUUGUUCUUGUUCCUUUAGUUUGCUGAGACAUACUGCAGUAAAUGAUGACUUUGAACGACUUGUCAUUUUCUUCAGGAAAUUAAGGAAUUUGCCCAAAAUUGAAAAGUAAAGUCAUCUCUAACAAAGUUCGAAAACGUUUCUCAAAACUCACCAACCUUGCUUCCAAUUCCUUCCUUGAUUCGCAUAUAUUCUCUGUUUUUAUUCUAUUAGUUUCUCUUAGGAAUUUUAGCAAACAUUUGAUAUGGAUAACACAUUAAAAUAAUAGAACAAAGAAUUUCGAUUCCUAAUUUAACUGAAAAAAAAAAUCUGAAUUUCACUUAAUACAAUCACAACUAAAGUAAUCAAAAUUAAAUUAGCUGAGUUCAAAAAUGCAUGCCAUCUUCUCAUUGUUAUCAACCUGCAACUCAAUAUCGAAAAACACCGAACGCGACCCUCUGUUAGCCUUAUGCCUCUUGUCCCCUGCCUCUCCAUAGCCUAACAUCUUCCAUGUGCUUCCUAUUGGUUUUUACCCAAUAAGUAAAAAAAGAAGGAAAAAAAAAGUUCAAAUAUUUAGCGCGAUUGAGAUUAGAACUGAUCAAGUUCUAUUCAUCUUCCUAGGACGAGAUGAAUGCUGCUCGUCCAAUCUUCCUUGGCAUUUUGCAGCUUCACACCAACUUUUUUCGACUUGGAUUUCUUGAACUGAUCAAGUUGCAGGAAAAUAAUAAUAAUAAUAAUAAAGAUUUGAAAUAGAGAGGCAAAGCUAAACGAGAAAAAGACUUGAGAACUU
rnacentral:lncRNA from 1 species